ACUCUCCCGGAACUGAGGCUUUGACAUCAACAGUUUCACUUUGUUCCACCUUUGAUCUCCAGGCUCAAAGCGUCAGUCCACCAGAUAAAUACUCAGUCAGACUGGUGAAUGGGACCACUUCCUGUUCUGGUACAGUGGAUGUCCUCUACAGAGGAGAGUGGUUGGGUCUAUGUUUUAGGUGGUGGGACAUGAUGAGAGAGGUUAAGGUUGUGUGUAGAGAGCUGGACUGUGGGAAUCCUGUAGCUGAAACUAGAGGACCUCUGAUUGAAGAUGGAAGAAGAGGAGUCACGAUGUGGAGUUGUAGGAGAGAUGAGUCUUCUAUUAGACAGUGUAACAUCAUAGGAGGACUUGGUGUCUGUGAUGGUGGAUAUUAUCGUCAUGUGACCUGUUCAGAGUCUGUGCGGCUUGUGGAUGGAGCUGGUCUCUGCUCUGGGAGAGUGG